rnacentral:lncRNA from 1 species
ACACUUAUCUUCAUUCACUACUCACUUGAGUCCAUGCCCAGAGUGAGAAUCCACUCACCUUCCUUAGGAAAACUCUCUAACAAUGGAACAUCAAGGAGCAUCAGAGACUAGCAAAGCAUCCUGGGAACUCCAGUGAGCAAAGACAAGAGCUCUCAGCAGGCAAGAAGGGCUCCCGAUUCUGGAAGAAGAUUUUGCUCUUCCAUUUGGAAUGGCAGUACCUGCACAUCCCUGGGACCCAGCUUCCUGGCCACUGCUGCAGCCUCCUGUCCGACAUCCUGGAGAAAUGCUGCUCACAGGCUGAGGUUUUCACCAGAAGAGAAUGCUUUUUGCCCUGAAAUCCAAAGGGCUCUCCUGUGGCCUCUGUACCUGCAGCUCAAGACUCCAGGAGAAACUUUCCCAUCUCAUCAGUGCAAGGGAUCAAGAACAGGACUCAGGGACAAAGGGGACUUUGAUUCAGCUGCUGUGACUCACAGUGAACAAGACUAACUUCAACCCUCUGGGCCUCCGCUUCACCUACAAAACGCUGUUUUGUUUGACCUAAUUUCUAGCAUAGAAGCUGAGGCCUUUCAUCAUCAGGUGGUAAGAGACAGAGAAGAUCUUAAAAAGGAAUGAUGUUGGAAAAAGUGUCAUGCCUUAUAUUUUUUGCUCCUCACACCUGUUUGCCACUGUAAAAUUACCUCCUUGGUAAAGUAGGACCUCAUUAACUCAGUCUCCAUUUGCUCAGAAUUUGUGAUUCUUAGGGGGACUCUGCAAACCUCUACCUUCAUCCUGUGAAAUAGGCUCAUUAAGCAAAUUAGUAUAAACAAGAUUGUAGGGGGCAUGAUUAACCUACUUAAGAGAAUAAGCUAUGGAAUGAGGGUUGUUAUGUGGUUGAUAGUAUGCAACUGAUAUGCUAAUUCCAAAUCUUUCU